rnacentral:rRNA from 1 species
UAGGGAAUAUUGGACAAUGGGCGCAAGCCUGAUCCAGCCAUGCCGCGUGAGUGAAGAAGGCCCUCGGGUUGUAAAGCUCUUUUGUCCGGAAAGAAAAGCAUCGGGCUAAUACCCUGGUGUUCUGACGGUACCGGAAGAAUAAGCACCGGCUAACUUCGUGCCAGCAGCCGCGGUAAUACGAAGGGUGCAAGCGUUACUCGGAAUUACUGGGCGUAAAGCGUGCGUAGGUGGUUUGUUAAGUCUGAUGUGAAAGCCCUGGGCUCAACCUGGGAAUGGCAUUGGAAACUGGCGGACUCGAGUGCGGUAGAGGGGUGUGGAAUUCCCGGUGUAGCAGUGAAAUGCGUAGAGAUCGGGAGGAACACCAGUGGCGAAGGCGACACCCUGGACCAGCACUGACACUGAGGCACGAAAGCGUGGGGAGCAAACAGGAUUAGAUACCCUGGUAGUCCACGCCCUAAACGAUGCGAACUGGAUGUUGGGUGCAACUUGGCACUCAGUAUCGAAGCUAACGCGUUAAGUUCGCCGCCUGGGGAGUACGGUCGCAAGACUGAAACUCAAAGGAAUUGACGGGGUCAUAGCGUG